rnacentral:rRNA from 1 species
UACGUAGGGGGAGAGCGUUGUCCGGAUUUAUUGGGCGUAAAGAGCUCGUAGGCGGUUCGGUUAGUCGGAUGUGAAAUCUCCACGCUCAACGUGGAGGCGCCAUCCGAUACUGCCGUGACUCGAGUCCGGUAGGGGAGUGUGGAAUUCCCGGUGUAGCGGUGAAAUGCGCAGAGAUCGGGAGGAACACCCGUAGCGAAGGCGGCACUCUGGGCCGGUACUGACGCUGAGGAGCGAAAGCGUGGGGAGCGAACAG